rnacentral:rRNA from 1 species
UACAGAGGUCCCAAGCGUUGUUCGGAUUCAUUGGGCGGAAAGGGUGCGUAGGUGGCGCCGUAAGUCGGGUGUGAAAUUUCGGAGCUUAACUCCGAAACUGCAUUCGAUACUGCGGUGCUUGAGGACUGGAGAGGAGACUGGAAUUCAUGGUGUAGCAGUGAAAUGCGUAGAGAUCAUGAGGAAGACCAGUGGCGAAGGCGGGUCUCUGGACAGUUCCUGACACUGAGGCACGAAGGCCAGGGGAGCAAACGGG